rnacentral:rRNA from 1 species
UACGGAGGGAGCUAGCGUUGUUCGGAAUUACUGGGCGUAAAGCGCACGUAGGCGGCUUUUUAAGUCAGGGGUGAAAUCCCGGGGCUCAACCCCGGAACUGCCUUCGAAACUGGAGAGCUAGAAUCUUGGAGAGGCGAGUGGAAUUCCGAGUGUAGAGGUGAAAUUCGUAGAUAUUCGGAAGAACACCAGUGGCGAAGGCGACUCGCUGGACAAGUAUUGACGCUGAGGUGCGAAAGCGUGGGGAGCAAACAGG